AUUGGCUACGUGCAUGGCCCAUGCAUGUGCAAAGGCCACUUAUGUAGUGCACUGCCACACAUUCAGAGGUACUUAAUGUUCAGCUUCAUUCUUCUAUAGCAUUUGAUGUAGACGAAAUCCUCCGGCUGGAAAUGGACGGCAUGUGUGGCGACAUCCCGAGUACCACGUCCAUUGCUUCAUGCGGUGGUGAGCCAAACGGCCAUCUUCACGCCUUAGACGCACACGAGUACGUAUCAGGAGCAUGCCUUCUUGUUCUUGUGUAGACCACUUCAUGAUGUUUGGCUGGACUAACGUGACACCAUCGCCAAGGCACCAUCGAGUCCGGACGAGAUGAAGGAUAGGCACUAACCCGAUGCCAAAUGGGAUCUCGUUUCCCUUGAAGGAGACGCGAGCAGCACCGUCAUGCCACGUGAAGGAGUCGGUGAUGUCGACAUGGUCCGCGGCUUCGUCCUUCAUGGUACCGGCUCGUCGAGGUGGGCGAAGGGUGUGACGGGUGAUUUGAACGCCGGGAGGCAUCGUGGCGAGCACCAUGUCGUGGUCCUCGGCGUGAUGAAAUGGAGGUGAGCAGUGUGAUGGCGAGUUCUGCGUCGUCGACUUCUACGGCACCAUCUUGAUGAAGUGAACGAAUGGCCCGACGGCGAACUCCAGAUCACCGUCUUCAGCGGCGUCCCUCCAGCGCGACGAAGCGGACGACGGGCUCCAUAGAGCGGUGAGGCUGACCUACGUGUCAUCGACCUCCAA
rnacentral:rRNA from 1 species